AGAACCAUCUUUUAUCUCUCCCUCUUUGUUCAUCGUCUCUCUCUCUCUCUCUCUCUGUUUCUUUUCGUUUCUUCAUCUCCGACGAGAAAGCCCCCUUCUUCUCUUUCUCUUUUCUUUGUCUUCGUCUUCUGAUGGAGAAUAAUGAUAAGCCAAAAAAGAUGGUUUAUAUAUAUACUUUUAAAGGUGACAAAUUGGAAAUUACUUCCGGCAACCUGAUGACAUCUUGCAAGUCUUUUGUUUCCUUUUCUAAAGUGCAUUCUGUAUGCUUAAAAGUUUUGAUUCUUCUAAUUCCUGCACUUUCUUAUGCCCGAGUUCUUUUGUACUUUUUUUUUUUUGUUUUCUGAAGAAACCGUGUUGUGGGUUUUUCUGUUUUUUCCCAAUAGAGCAAGGGAUCAAAUGAUAAAGGAGGCAUCUUUUUCAGGUUUGAGGUUAUGUUUAAUAGUUUUUAUCAAUGAUUUUUUAAAUCAAUAGCCUAUUGUUGUUUUUUUGCUUGAACUAUUUUUAUUUAUCGGUAGCCUUCUUGAUUUUCAAGUUUAGAAGAGAUUUUUGCAGUUUUUUGGGACAAAAACAGCUUGGAUGAGUUUUUAGGAAAAUUGCCUUGAAUUCGCUGGCCUUUUGAUUCUUGCAAGGGGCCUUCUUUGAAGCUAAUCCUUUGUCAUUUGUUGGGACAGGAAUUCUGUUGCAGUCAUUUAAGUCAGGUGGAUAGAAAUACUAUUCGUCAAAAAUGGUAUAUUGAAAUGUCACAGAGUGAGAAGGCUGCACUUUCAUGUCGGAGGCAUGAAGCCAGGCUUUUGGAAAAAAAGGGAGAAAUCCUCACGCUCUUAUGUUCAUAGGGUACCGUUUGGUUGCAUAGAAACCGGUGUUUGUUUUCCUGGUUCUACUCUUGAGGGCGAUAGCAAGCUACUCUUGAAGGCUGUGGUUUUACUCCUCGAGGUAUAUGUGCCGUUGUAGUAUUUUACUCGUCUAUUCUGUAUCUGUUAGUUUAUUUAGCCUUGUGUCAGAUCAUUAUCUUUGAAUGGCUUCACGUUUCUGUGCCAUUUACGAUUGAAGCCAUCUAUUUUUGCACAUUACAGCAGCUCCAUUGAAUGACAUAGUUCAGGUUACAAAAGGUCAACCAGAAUCUAGUGCUGGAAAAAAAACUGUGUCUUCUCAUCUUUGGCCGAACGUUUGGCCUUCUAUUAAUGAUCAGCCUUCUUAGCACAGUCAUAAAGAAGUCUUACCUAAAGGAUUGCCUGACCUCUUAGAUAACAUUACAGUCUUCAAUGAGAACGAACAAACUUGUGAUUCUCAAAAUGUCAACCAAAUAACAUACUUCAAUCUUUAAAGGACUCAAACUCUGGAAUCCUUAACUCUUUGAACACUCCGUCUUUAAAUCGUUUGUCCAGAGACUGUGUUUCCUCUUCUAUUGCAUUGAAUCCCUGAUCUUUCAGCAUUCCGCGAGGUAGAGAUAUUACUGCAUCCAACAAAUCAUUCUUCUUGCUUUUCUUAUUCAGCCUUUAGUAUCGUUGUCUUUCAUAAACUAUUCUUAAUAAAAUAAGGCCGUCUAUUUAUGCACGUUGCAGCAACUCCAUUCAAUGACAGAGCUCAGCGUUAGAAAUGUCAGAUAGAAACUAAUGCUGGAAAAAGGAAGAAAAAGGAAAAAAAAAAGGACAUCUAUCUUUUGAUUCCUUACCUAAUGACCAGCCUUGUAAGGGGAGGCAUGGAAAUGCAUUGUCUAAGGCAUGGUCUCCUAUUUCAGAAGUUAACAUUGCGAUCUCUUAAGACAAUGAACAAACCUGUGGUGCUUGAUGUUAAAAUACAGCUAACAUCUUUGAACCUACGCGGAACUUGAAUUCUAAAAUUCUUGGUUCUUUGCACAGUCCAUUUUUGAAUUGCUCGUUAAAUGACUGUAUUUAUUCUUCUACUACAUUGAAUCUCCAGUCUUCUAGUACUUCUCAAGAUACAAAUAUUAUUAUGUGUACCAAUUAUUUUGCUUGCUUUUCUUGUUCAAUCUCCGGUACUUAAAAAAAAUUCUUCUCCACUUCUAAGAUAAUGUUGUGUCUUUUGGGCACCUUAUUAGGAUUUGCCAUUGCAGAUAUCCCAUCGAUUCAGAAAAAUAUGGUGGUUCAUUCUCAAAUAAUAAAUGAUGUGUCGACUAACAAAGAUGGGACCAGCAAAUCAUCUGAUAUUCCUGUUGGUUUUGCAACUCGAACGAAGGAUCAUACAAAUGCUAUGCCGACAAGAACGACGCAGUCAGGAGGGCUCCCACAAUAUAUGUUAACAUUUUCUCUUGGGAAGCUGCAACACAAUUUCCAAUAGCAACACAGACAGCAAGAGGAGGGGCAA